rnacentral:tRNA from 1 species
AGGAUUAUAAUUUAAAUAAAAUAUUUGAAUUGCAGUCAAAAAUUACUUUAAUCAAAAGUUAAUCUUA